GACGAACGCUGGCGGCGUGCUCAACACAUGCAAGUCGAGCGGUAAGGCCCUUUCGGGGGUACACGAGCGGCGAACGGGUGAGUAACACGUGGGUGACCUGCCCUCAGCUCUGGGAUAAGCCUGGGGAAACCGGGUCUAAUACCGGAUAUGACUCCAUGACGCAUGUUGUGGGGUGGAAAGCCUUGUGCGGCUGAGGAUGGGCCCGCGGCCUAUCAGCUUGUUGGUGGGGNGAUGGCCUACCAAGGCGACGACGGGUAGCCGGCCUGAGAGGGCGACCGGCCACACUGGGACUGAGACACGGCCCAGACUCCUACGGGAGGCAGCAGUGGGGAAUCUUGCGCAAUGGGCGAAAGCCUGACGCAGCGACGCCGCGUGA
rnacentral:rRNA from 1 species